rnacentral:tRNA from 1 species
GCCUGGCUGGCUCAGUCAGUAGAGCGUGUGACUCUUGAUCUCGGGGUCAUGGGUUUGAGCCCCACUUUGGGCG